CAUAUCGAACUGGCCCCGAUGCGGAGGAUUUACGAACUUUGGCCGCUCAAAAAGUCACAUCCAUUUCAGACAUCCAGAAGGGACCCCAGAAGUGGCACCUGCCCCACCUGGGGACAUCUAGAAGAGUGGCUUCCGGCCGCCUGUGGCUGUUGAGAGUAAGCCACCCUGAGCCUGCACCAAGGACUAAGGACCCUGCGCCUGACUCCCGGGGUCUGCCUCAGUUCUGGAGGUGAAGACACUGUCCGUACAGAAGUUAGAACAAGUAUUGGGAGAUGAGAUAAAGCCACCCACUUGGGUCCCAAACUCUAUGGACACUGUGUGAGAUAGAGAUCGCCAUCCUGUUCCUGUUAUUGAUGAAAAGACCAUCAGGCAGAGCAGAUACAAUGUAACCAUCUGCCUCCACGCCCCAGUGGUGAUGGACUGGCUGUAUCCUCAUACUAAGAUGGCGCAUGCCAUCCCUGCGAGUCUCUGAAGAAAACUUCCCUUUGCUCAACCACAGAGAAAUGCACACUCCUCAUCUCUCAGCGUUUCAGUCAGUGCGACUGACCCACAGCCUAUGACGGCAGCUGCGGACACAGCCCUCUGCUCUGGUUCCUUCACCAAAAAUAAAAUAAGUGACUCCAAGUGCUUGGCCGGUAGCCAAGGACCUCUCAGGUUCAAUUCUUCAUCUUCUGCUUGCGAGAGUUAAUUACAGUGAGGGGGCAUGCUAAGCAAGAGCUCUUUGUGUUCACAGUGAAAUAAUGACUUAGUCACCCCUGAGACUACAGAGGCUCUGGACUUCAGCUCUGCACAGCAAGCACAAAUCCCAACCUGAUAGCAUGUGACUUUCUUUUUCAAAUGAAUCAGACUUUAUGAAUAGACAGCGUCUUUUCCUCCCCUCACCCUCUAGCCCGACCGUGCCGAUUAGCAUAUUUUCUGCUUUUCUAGUUGAGUUGACUCACCAGUCCCUUUAAGAGCCUGCUAGCUUGUGUGCUUCCUCCUGACAGGACACAGGGAUCCCUGUCCGCACACUUGCUGAUUGUAUAGCAUACCUUUGCCACUGUUGGUUUUGCUGUUGUUGUUGUUUUGAUUCAAUAAAGUUUUAUUUUCCCAAAUGCA
rnacentral:lncRNA from 1 species